UUGAAUGCAAGCUGUGAACAGGAGAACUGGUUGCUUUUUCUAAUUUUUAUGUAAUUGCUGUAAAUUGGCUUUCUUAAAGAGCACCAAGAAUGUAGGUUAGUAACUAAAAUGCCUGCUCUUGAUGAUUGGAUUAUGAGUUUCAAGAACUUUGUCUAUUGGGAAUUUCUUAAAGGAUGUGUUGAUGGGGGGAAGUUGACACAUUCUUUGUUUUUAUGCAAAAUAGGAAGGACCUGACGUAGGCAGGAUGAUUUAAGAGUCGUGGACUAUUAGACGAGCUUGAUUUUUUUCUAUAAUUAUUUUAUUGUUUUUUAUAAUUAUUUUGCUUUCAAAAUAGAAGACAUGUUAUUAAUCUUUAAUGAUAUUGAUAUUGUUGAAGAGUAUAGCGAUUGUUUUGAUAGUAUAUAAUGGGACUGGAUAUCCUUAAGCAAUAUGAGUAUAGUUGGGACAGUUGGAUUCUGACAAAUUCUUUGUGCUGCAGAUCCAAGUUGUAUGGACGCAGAAGCUAUAGCCCAUUAUAAGGUUUAAUGAACUUUGACAUCUUCCAAAUGAAAGGCUUCAAAUUUGUGGGGAAUGUCAAAAAAACCACGCAUCACAAUCCUCCCCAACUGAAUGGAAAUGUGAAUGGACUCUUCAGUUUAAAACAGGGAUUGUGUACUGGCUCCUAUUCUCAUGGGAUGGCUCUUUAGGCUAAGACUUAUCAUGUGAUAGUCAUAUCAAAGUUGCCUAAAUUCAACUAUGAUGACACACCUAAUAUUUCAAUGAGUGUGGUUAUUGUGUUUGUAACUAUUCUCAUUGAAUUGUUAUUUAACAGAUGUGUUGGCUUUCCUCCCUUCUUUUAGUGAGUGACCUUUGUCACUUUUUUCAUGUAGCCAAGAAUUAAAGUUGAGGGAUGCUUUUUAAGACUAUGGCAUCUUAACGAUCAUGGCAAGAAUGGAGAUCGAUCGAUCACCAUAGGACAACUCCCAAUAAUUUCCCAGUUACGAACGCGUGGAGUUAGGACAUCUGCAUUUUCCAAUCCUAAAAAGUAGAUGAAUAGGCAAAAGCUAGAGAUUGAUGAUCUCUACCUGGAAUUGAAUUUCAAUCAUUGAACUUUUUCAGAUGUCUGUUGAUAUGAGGAGUCAAUUUCAGGAUCCACCAGUAAUUCCCACCCCAGAAAGAGGUUAGUUCUGGAAUUACCGAUUUUGAAUCUCUACUCUUUUUAAGCAUAAGUCCUUUUUAGUUAGAGAGAAAAAAAUCUCAAUGUUAGACGUCUUCAAAAUCUUUGAAUCGAAAUACAUAUAGAUUUACAGAUGCACGUACUUAAUAUGGUAUACCUACACUGGCAACUACUUACUUUUCCUUUUGCCUUGAAAAGUAUGGCCACACAUUCCUUUUUUUUUUUUUUAGUUCUGGUGAGCCUAAUAAGUAAUGUCAAAAACCCUUAUGUCUCUUGGGUCCGGAUCUUGGGGUGGGCGCGGGUGUCCUCACCCUUUUAAAUAAGUUAUAAAUUCU